GCAGCACAGCUGAGAGGUAGAGUUUGCAGCUCUGGAGCCUGUUGGCCUUCUGGGUUUGGGCCAUGACUUCACUCCUGACUAAAUCCUCUCCACCUUCCUCCAUCCUGUGCAGUCUUACAGAAGGCUGAACUCCCCAUCCAGGCCUUCCCUUCAGCCAGCUGGAAAAGGAGUGGGAGGCUACAUGAAAUCAUCUAAAAACUUCCUAAGAUGACAACGGAAUGAAAACGAUACAUUUCCAACAACUAACAUGUCAACUGUUACCACCUUGCUAGAAGUUACGCAGAGCCAAAUGUUGACAAGUGAAUUGGCACUGCUUUUUCUUUACCAACAAUUAACCACUUGGCUACUUCCCCCUCCUAGAGACAUCUCCGAUCGAUACAUGACUCUGCUUAUAGGCAACUGCCAG